rnacentral:rRNA from 1 species
GAUGAACGCUAGCGGCAGGCUUAACACAUGCAAGUCGAGGGGCAGCGGGGUGUAGCAAUACAUCGCCGGCGACCGGCGCACGGGUGCGUAACACGUAUGGAAUCUGCCCUUUACUGGGGGAUAGCCCGGAGAAAUCCGGAUUAAUACCCCAUAACAAGCGAGGUGGCAUCAUCUUGCUUUGAAAGCUCCGGCGGUAAAGGAUGACCAUGCGCCCGAUUAGCUAGUUGGUGAGGUAAUGGCUCACCAAGGCUACGAUCGGUAGGGGGCCUGAGAGGGUUAUCCCCCACACUGGUACUGAGACACGGACCAGACUCCUACGGGAGGCAGCAGUGAGGAAUAUUGCGCAAUGGAGGCAACUCUGACGCAGCCAUGCCGCGUGCAGGAAGAAGGCGCUACGCGUUGUAAACUGCUUUUAUCCGGGAAGAACCCCAGGACGUGUCCUGGGUUGACGGUACCGGAGGAAUAAGCACGGCUAACUUCGUGCCAGCAGCCGCGGUAAAG